rnacentral:rRNA from 1 species
UACGUAGGGUGCGCGCGUUAAUCGGAUUUACUGGGCGUAAAGCGUGCGCAGGCGGCCCGUUAAGACAGGUGUGAAAUCCCUGGGCUCAACCUAGGAAUUGCGCUUGUGACUGGCGGGCUCGAGUACGGUAGAGGGGGGUGGAAUUCCUGGUGUAGCAGUGAAAUGCGUAGAGAUCAGGAGGAACACCGAUGGCGAAGGCAGCCCCCUGGGCCUGUACUGACGCUCAUGCACGAAAGCGUGGGGAGCAAACAGG